GCCGAAAUUCUAGUUCUUUUUUCCACACUAUGGCCCACAGAAAACAAAACAUUUGAAUCAGCUAGUAAAGGAGAUUAAAAACAGCACAAAGCACUAUAGAAACAGUACCGCAAGGGAAAGAAAUUAAGUAAAAAAAAGCAAAGAUAAAACCUUGUACCUUUCGCAUCAUGGUUUAGCAAGACACGCUUGAGCGAGACGCUUCACAGCUCAAAAGCCCGAAACCAAGUGAGCUACCCCCCAACAGGAAACAUACCCGUCUCUGUAGCAAAAGGGUGGGGAGAUUGGGGGGUAGUGGUGAAAAGCCUAUCGAACUUGGCGAUAGCUGGUUGCCUAAAAUUGAACCUAAGUUCUACCUUGAGCCACUUUCUAUUAACAUAAGAAAAUCAAGGAGACUCAUUAGGGGUACAGCCCUAAUGAAAGGGGACACAACCCCUGCCUGAGAGUAAGCCAUAAAAAAUAUACCGUAGGCUUUAAAGCGGCCACCCGUAAAAACAGCGUCAAAGCGCCCAAUUAUUAAUUCACAACAAACCAACCACCUCCAGCAAGAAUAAAGGCACCUCUACAGCCGUAGAAAAACCAAUGCUAAAACUACUAAUAAGGGCCCACCCUCUAAGCACCACCAUCAGUUGUAAUGGACCAGCCACCAACAGUUAUCAAUUACACAAGCAAACCCAAAUCAUACAUCUUAUGUUAAUUGUGACACCGACACUGGAGUGCCUAUAAGAAAGAUUAAAAGCCACAGAAGGAACUCGGCAAACACUGGCUCCAACUGUUUACCAAAAACAUAACCUUUAGCAAACCAAGUAUUAAAGGCAUCGCCUGCCCAGUGAGAAAUCUCUUUAACGGCCGCGGUACCCUAACCGUGCGAAGGUAGCAUAAUCACUUGUCUAUUAAUCAUAGACUAGCAUGAAAGGCUGCAUGAGAGCCAAACUGUCUCCUAUGGCCCAUCAAUGAAACUGAUCCUACAGUUAAAAAGCUGUAAUACCCCCAUAAGACGAGAAGACCCUGUGAAACUUUCAACAAUCUUUUUUUCCCAGAAAAAAGUACUUUUAGUUGGGGCAACUUUGGAAACAAACCUAACUUCCAAAUACCAAGAACACCCACUACCACACGGCCAACACGCCUUAUUAUACGACCCAGUAUACCUGAUAAAUGAACCAAGCUACUCCAGGGAUAACAGCGCCAUCUUCUUCAAGAGCCCAUAUCAAAAAGAAGGUUUACGACCUCGAUGUUGGAUCAGGGCACCCCAGUGGCGCAGCCACUACUAAAGGUUCGUUUGUUCAACGAUUAACAGC
rnacentral:rRNA from 1 species